rnacentral:rRNA from 1 species
GACGAACCGAGCGAACGGUGUUCGGAAUCACUGGGCUUAAAGGGCGCGUAGGCGGGUGAUCAAGUCCGGGGUGAAAUCCUCCAGCUCAACUGGAGAACUGCCUCGGAUACUGGUUGCCUCGAGGAAGGUGGGGGUGUGUGGAACGUUCAGUGGAGCGGUGAAAUGCAUUGAUAUUGAACGGAACUCCGGUGGCGACGGCGACACACUGGACCUUUUCUGACGCUGAGGCGCGAAAGCUAGGGGAGCAAACGGG